CUCAUAGUUCAAGAGUACAGUACCUCAUGGGCUGGGCUGGAGUGUAAGGCAGCUGAUCACAUUACAUCACUGUUGUAAGAGCGAACCAAAGGCAGAGAACUUCUCAACUACCCAGACUCCUCCCACUGAGGCCCCAGUCACAACCUUCUGUUUGUUUCUUUCUGUUCGGUUUCGACUGAACCAUCAGUUGCCGGGGAGCCGUUCUGGACAAGAAGGUGAUUGUUGGAGGGCCAAGGCCGCAGGAAAAUGGACAAAGCUUUGUCUUACUUAGUCAUAGAUGUGGGAAGACCCAGCUGGAUGGUGGUUCUGGGUUCAAUAACAAAGCAAGCUGAAGAAGCCAGGAGGAGCAAGCCAGUCAGCAGCACCCUUCCAUGCCUUCCGCAUCAGCUCCUGCCUCCAGGUUUCUGUCCUGUUCGAGUUCCUGUCUGGUUGCUUUCAAUGAUGGACUACAAUGGGAAGUGCAAGAAGGAGGAGGAGGAAGAGAGGAAAAGGAGGAAGAAGAAGAGAAAAAAGAAGAGAAGGAGGAGUUCUGGAGAGAUGAUUCAGUUGUGAAGAGCACUUGCUAUUCUUUCAGAUGAUCUGGGUUCAGUUCCCAGUACUUGUGUGAUGGUUUGUGUAUGCUUUGCCCAGGGAGUGGCCCUGUUAGGAGGUGUGGCCUUGUUGGAGUAGGUGUGUCACUGUGGGCUUGGGCUUAAGACCCUCACCCUAGCUACCUGGAAGUCAGUAUUCUGCUAGCAGCCUUCAGAUGAAGAUGUAGAACCCUCAGCUCCUCCUGCACCAUGCCUGCCUGGAUGCUGCCAUGUCCCCGCCUUGAUGAUGAUGGACUGAACCUCUGAACCUGUAAGUCAGCACCAAUUAAAUGCUGUCCUUAUAAGAGUUGCCUUGGUCAUGGUGUCUGUUC
ensembl:lncRNA